rnacentral:rRNA from 1 species
GAUGAACGCUGGCGGCGUGCUUAACACAUGCAAGUCGAGCGAAGAGACGAGGAGCUUUCUCCUCUGAGGUUAGGAGUGGCGGAGGGGUUAGUAAGACGAUAGCAUCCCUAUAAGACUGGGAGAACACCGGGAAAACGGUGCGAAUACACCGCAAUAUACUGAACCGCAUGGUUCAAGGGUCUAAGACCGUUUUGCUGUCACUUGUAGAUGGAUCCGCGCCGCAUUAGCUAGUUGGUAGGGUAACGGCUUACCAAGGCAACGAUGCGUAGCCGACCUGAGAGGAUGAUCAGCCACACUGGAACUGAGACACGGUCCAGACUCCUACGGGAGGCAGCAGUAGGGAAUAUUCCGCAAUGGGCGAAAGCCUGAUGCAGCAACGCCGCGUGGGUGAUGAAGGUCUUCGGGUCGUAAAGCUCUUUUGUUGGGAAAGAAAAAAUGUAGGAUUAUCUAUGGAUGUCUUGACGGUACCUAAAGAAAAAGCCACGGCUAACUACGUG